rnacentral:lncRNA from 1 species
GGGGGGUUUGAGAGGGGAGGAAUGGGGUCAUGGCUGUAGCCAGAUAGUGGUCCUCAACCAUGGUGGCAAAGCGACCACUAAAGAGGAGGAAGAAGGAAAAAGUCAUUAGAGCUUAGUGGUGGCUCAAUCGGUGAGAAAAAAGAGAUUAAAUAGAAGGAUUUAGACGGAGAUAAGCACAAUAUUUUUGCAUCUACCUGCGAAUCCAAUGGCAAUUAAGAGCAACCCCAAUGGCCAAGCGAUCACUCUAUAUGGGCCCAACAGGAUCUUCACAGGCCAUGGCUGUUCUA